rnacentral:rRNA from 1 species
GAUGAACGCCGGCGGCGUGCUUAACACAUGCAAGUCGAACGGAAAGGCCAGUGCUUGCACUGGUACUCGAGUGGCGAACGGGUGAGUAACACGUGGGUGAUCUGCCCUGCACUUCGGGAUAAGCCUGGGAAACUGGGUCUAAUACCGGAUAGGACAAUGGUUUGGAUGCCGUUGUGGAAAGUUUUUUCGGUGUGGGAUGAGCUCGCGGCCUAUCAGCUUGUUGGUGGGGUAAUGGCCUACCAAGGCGUCGACGGGUAGCCGGCCUGAGAGGGUGUACGGCCACAUUGGGACUGAGAUACGGCCCAGACUCCUACGGGAGGCAGCAGUGGGGAAUAUUGCACAAUGGGCGCAAGCCUGAUGCAGCGACGCCGCGUGGGGGAUGGCGGCCUUCGGGUUGUAAACUCCUUUCGCUAGGGACGAAGCGUAUUUGUGACGGUACCUGGAGAAGAAGCACCGGCUAACUACGUG